GCAGAUCAGAUAUUUACAUUACGAUGCAUAACAGUAGCAAAAUUACAGUUAUGAAGUAGCAACGAAAAUAAUUUUAUGGUUGGGGGUCACCACAACAUGAGGAACUAUAUUAAAGGGUCGCGGCAUUAGGAAGGUUGAGAACCACUGGUCUAGAGGGAAGUUUCCAACCCACUCACUGGACUGGUUUUUGCUUUCAUGAAUGCCCUAAUUUAGAAGAAUACAAUUAUAUACAUUUUUUUUCCAUCUUAGUUUUUAAUGCUAUUUUAGUUGCAAGUAACACUAUGUAGUGUGCCUUAUUAACCUCAUUCUCUGGCUGUAUUCAUAUCACAAUCAAAAGCCUAAACUUUGGAAUAUCCCUUUUAUUUCUCUUCAAGUGAGGUUCUGAUUGAACGGGUAAGGCUUGUUCUUUGCCCACAAGACUCCUGAAGGCAAGCAAAUUUUAAACUGGAAGUAAAGAAUGAUUUAAAU